rnacentral:rRNA from 1 species
GGACUACCCGGGUUUCUAAUCCCGUUUGCUCCCCUGGCUUUCGCGCAUCAGCGUCAGUAUCGGCCCAGUAGCCCGCCUUCGCCUCAGGUAUUCCUCCCGAUAUCUACGCAUUUCACCGCUACACCGAGAAUUCUAGCUACCUCUUCCGUACUCUAGCUCGCCAGUAUCGGCCGACUCUCCGGGGUUGAGCCCCGGGCUUUCACAGCCGACUUAACAAGCCGCCUACGCGCCCUUUACGCCCAAUAAUUCCGAACAACGCUUGCCACCUACGUAUUACCGCGGCUGCUGGCAC